rnacentral:rRNA from 1 species
UGCCGUCUACUCUUGGACAGCCGUCUGAAAGGAAGAUUAAUACAAGAUGGCAUCAUGAGUCCGCAUGUUCACAUGAUUAAAGGUAUUCCGGUAGACGAUGGGGAUGCGUUCCAUUAGAUAGUAGGCGGGGUAACGGCCCACCUAGUCUUCGAUGGAUAGGGGUUCUGAGAGGAAGGUCCCCCACAUUGGAACUGAGACACGGUCCAAACUCCUA